AUUUGCAAUUAUGGAAGCGUGAAGCGUGAAUAUUUUAUUACACAUAUGCAACGCAAGCACGACAAAACUAUGACGGCAGAUGAAUUAUAUGUAAUGUUCAAAGUAAAUACUGGCCGAACUCCAUACGUUAAGCCCGUCGACGACAUAGAAACAGCGAAGAAAGCACAUCCGGAAUACUUUGAGAGUAAUAAGUUAUAAAAAAUUUUAAUUCCUAAAAGUUAAAGUGGAUACAUUCUUUGGAUCGUUUACAGUCAACUGCUUAUACAUAUAAAUUAAACGCCUGCAAUGCGGCCUUGUACAACUGUUCGUAGCAGAUUAUUGAUGUGUAGAAGGGUUUGCUAAUUUACGUACAUGAUGGAGGUAAAAACCACUCCGUUUCUCAGUAUGCUGCGGAAGCCCUUUAAAUUGCAGCUUCAGGCCCCCCUGAAUUUUCAUUGAAAAUAUCGUACCAUUGAUUUUCACACGAUCGUUGAACACAACCAGGUAAGUACCAUUGACCUUGUUCGGAGCCUCUUUAAUUUCUUCUAUAACAGCCAGUUGAUCAUUGAUGAAUACUAUACCAUCGCUUAUCGGUGUAUUUGGUGCUAGGUUAUUAAAUGUUGCGCUGCAACUAGUGGUAGGCUCUUGGCUCUGGGUUCCGGGUUACAGUGAAAUCACUGGAAACUGCACGGUCGAGGAGCUGGACCGUGGGAAUUUGAUCAGCUCAGCGGGCGUUGGGCGAAGUUCUUGGCAUGCAAGGUGGCAAAGUCCUUUUGGCCAUGUGUAAACCUAGGGCGGUCCAGGAACCGCUUCAGUCUAAAUGCUUAAACAGACUCCAGCGUAGCAGUUAAUUCCGAGUUGAUCCGGAUCAACACUGCCGUCUGUUUAUGCUUUAAGCCAGGAACACUUCUCGCUAGUGAUGGGAGUUCUAACUGGUUGUUGUUGUUGUUGUUGUAGCGGCUACUAAGCC